UAACAUGUCAUUCAUUCAGCAAGAAAUGAUGGAUAUUAACACAAAUACUGAAGGAAGAAAUGCUUUAGCACUUUUAUACCUAAUUCAUAUGCAACAAGUUCCAAAUUUCAGUUUAGCACAGUAACAUAAAUGUGACCUGGGAGAUGUAACAGCCUCCGUUUAAAUGGGCUACUUUAGGGGAUAAAUAACAUUAGUAAUAUGUUUUGUUCAGGUUUUGAUGCGUAUAAAAAGUAUGGAUAAAUAUUAAAAUAAGCACGUUGUAACUGGGUCAUAUGCAUGAAUAUCUUACAGCUGUAUAAAUAACAGUGUUUCAUUUGUCCCUAAUUUGCAUGUUCAGAUUCCCCAGAGCUGUCAGUGGACAAACAGGAGGUGACGGGUGUGGAAGGAGACAGUGUCAGUGUCCAGUGUCGCUAUGGAGACAGUGUAAAUAAGAAGCUGUGGUGUAAAAUCGGGGGCUCCUGUGUGUCAGAGAGAUCUGGGAGCUGGGAUCUGGAUGGGAGGCCUGUCCUGAUCAGGGAUGACACAGUAAAUAGAGUCUUCAUUGUGAAAAUAAGGGCACUGGAGAGGAAGGACACUGGCUGGUACUGGUGUGAUGCUGGAGGCUUGCAGAUCCCAGUUCAUAUUACUGUCAAACCAAUAAUCAUCACUGAAUCACAUGAUGAAGAUGGAGGGAAUAAUGAUAAACUGAGAUGGGAGCAGGUUCUGGAUGCUGCACUGAAAGCUGGGACUGGUGUGUUUUAUCUGAUUUGCACCAUCAUCGCCAUUCAGCUGCACUGGAGCAACUGUAGAAAGAGGGGAACCAAUCAGAGAGAAGCAGAGGGAGGGGCCAAUACAAACCACGGGUCUUGAGAAAUUUUGAUUAAAUAUACAACAUUAGUGUAAAUAAAUGAACAAUCCUCAAGACUGUAUCAGCAAGGGUAUGCUGUGUUUGUAUGAAAUGCCUUUUUAUAUAUCUGGAGUGUUUCAGUUUAUGCUGUAGCCAUUUAUUUGUGCACGAAUCUCCAGAGGAAGCUGGAAGGGGGGUGUGACCUUUAUGAAGCAGAAUGAGACAGAAGAGCUGUAAAAUAAAUGGUUAUGCCAUCUGCAGUGAGGCCUCUCUCACACGGCCCUGCUCAGUCUGUGCAGUCACACCAUGAGAGUCAGUUAAACACUGAGAGGUUGAUCUGCAAUGUAGGAUUGUCUGCUGGGAACCUGUACAGUCAGUGCUUUGUACCACUGAUGGCCUCUUCGUUACAUGUAAUUUGCUGCCACCUGCUGGUCAAAUAAUAUGGGA